UUCAGGUGCAGAUGCGUUCCAGGUGUGGCAGAGGGUCAGGGUUAGGAGGUGCCGGGCCUUCUUAGGAGCGCGCUGUCUGAGAGACCCCAGCCCCGGUGCCAGUAGGACCUUCCCAGCUGACGAGGUGGCCUUUCUACGCACCUGACAGGGACCAGCAUCUCCAGGUGUCUGAGAGAUGAGUAGAGGGCUGUGACCCACAGAGGGGAUGAAUAUUGCCAUGGAUUAAAUCUGUGCCAGAGGGCCCCAUCCCGGGUGAGGGGAUUGCCCCGAGCAGGAAGUCAAUCUGGAUACCAGCAGCCAAGGUGAGCAGCGGAGAGAAGUGGUUGCUAUUGCUCAGCUCUCAAGCACAACAAUUUUUCAGCAGAUUCAUUGUGUCACAAGAGGGAUCUUCCCAGUGUCAAGGAUGAUGUUUGAGAUUGAGGCUUCAGGUGCCACUCCUAAUAAAGGCCACAGCCUUGGAAUCAGGAUGAAGCUGGAGCCUGAGGGAGCCAGGCACGCUCAGGAAAGGGCAAGUAGCUGACUUGCAGGGAUUUGGCCCACAUAACUCUGGAC